UACAGAGGUGGCAAGCGUUGUUCGGAAUUACUGGGCGUAAAGGGCGCGUAGGCGGCCUUCUAAGUCAGACGUGAAAUCCCCCGGCUUAACCUGGGAACUGCGUCUGAUACUGGGAGGCUUGAGUAUGGGAGAGGGAUGUAGAAUUCCAGGUGUAGCGGUGAAAUGCGUAGAUAUCUGGAGGAAUACCGGUGGCGAAGGCGGCAUCCUGGACCAUAACUGACGCUGAGGCGCGAAAGCGUGGGGAGCGAGCCGG
rnacentral:rRNA from 1 species